GUGUGUGUACAGCUUGAUUGACUCCCUUGCCGUACCUGUGAGAGCGAGCACUACACUGUAAAGCUUCAGACACCUGGUCAACAUGCGGGGACACCUUCUGAUUGUUGUGGUGGUUGUGGUGGUGGUGUGUCAGCUCACGAACUCCAUGGCCGAUACAGAGGUCAGAGGUCAGAGCCUGUUGCAUCUGUUGACUAAGCGACAAGCCCAGUUGUUACCGCUUGCAACUGACAGAUUUCCAGUCUGUUGGUGUUUCACGUACCCGUGUGACUGCUACCCGUCACCUCCACGAUUCCCUCCUGUGCUUGUGUAGCAGCUUUGCCAGUCUGUCCUGCAUGUGGAUGAUAAACAAACCGUGUAUGACGAGCAUCAUCAUGAUAGUAUUUUACUCAAAAAGAAACGAUGAAAUAAUUACCUUCUCCUGACUUGUUUGUCAACAUGAAUUUAACGGUCAGAAUGGUUGUUUACUUCAAAGUAUCAACUGACUGAGCUCUUUGCCAGAGACUUGCUCCUCCAGUAUCAUUCAGUCCUCAAUCCUCCAAUUCACACACCUUUAUAUUUGUUCAGCCUCUUGUAACCUAAAGUGAAAGAAACAUUCUUAUCAAUAAUACAAAUAUUUGUGACAGAUAUCUGUAAAUAUGUAACGAGACAAACAAACAAAAUACACACUGACUGUAACUGACUUUUCCUAUGGAUUCAAGAAUAAAAACCCAACAAAGGUUGAUUAAUGAUCAUUAA